AUGCCACCUUCUGUGCACGACACGAAAGGCCUGCCGUUCAUGAAGCAUGGUUGUGUCUUCAGUGCGCACCGCCGGAUGAACGACAUGCUGGGGCACGCUAUCCCUGAUUUAUGCCGCUUCAGCUUGGAUGAGUCUCCAUCGUGUGGAACCAGACUAGAAAGCUGCGACAAUGAUUCCUGUUGCCCACCGCUAUGGAUCGUUCCAUCCAUGAAGAACACCUGGGACUGGAACCUGGAGGAUGACAUUAGACGCAAAUGCGCCGGCCUUCAUAAUUCCAGGACCUGGAAUCACACCAGCCGAUCGAUGGUGUCGAAGAAGGAUUGGCCGGUGCUUCCGGCUGGCGUCAAGUUCGAUCCCACGGAUCAGGAGCUGAUCGAGCACCUUGAGGCCAAAAUGAGUGCUGACAGCGCGAGAUCUCACCCUCUCAUCGAUUUGUUCAUACCAACCAUCGACAGCGAGCACGACAUAUGCUACACCCAUCCUGAGAAACUUCCAGGUAUCACACUGAGUGGCCUAAGCAAGCAUUUCUUCCAGCGCAAUUCCAGGGUGUUCAAAAGGGGCACGUGGAAGCGUCGCAAGAUACAGUCGGAGUGCGGCAUGCACGCGAUGUGGCACAACACCGGCAAUACCUUGCCGGUGAUGGUCAACGGCCGGCAGACGUGCAGCAAAAAGGUUCUGGUGCUGCACACCAACAAGAACUUCGACCAGCAGAGGACCAACUGCGUGAUGCACCAGUACCACCUCGGGGACCUGGAGCAAGAGAAGGAGCGGGAGCUGGUCCUCUGCAAGAUUUUCUACCAGACGAACACUAGGGCCAGGAGUAAAAAGAUUAUAAGUUAG
rnacentral:rRNA from 1 species